rnacentral:RNase_P_RNA from 1 species
AGUAAGUCAGACGGCUGCGGGGCAAAAGCCCUGAGGAAAGUCCGGGCCCCAUAGGGCAGGAUACCGGCUAACGGCCGGCGGAGGCGACUCCAGGGACAGUGCAACAGAAAAUAAACGCCGCUUUUGGCGGUAAGUGUGGAAAUGUGAGGUAAGAGCUCACAGGGAAGAUGGUAACUGAAUUCCCGUGUAAACCCUAUCCGGAGCAACUUUGGGACAGUUAAGGCGGCCCGCCGUUGUCCCUCAAAAGGCUUGAGCCUGCCGGUAACGGCAGGACAUAGAUAGAUAGCCGUCCAAUACAGAACCCGGCUUACAGACUUGCUCUU